rnacentral:rRNA from 1 species
UACGUAGGUGGCAAGCGUUUGUCCGGAUUUACUGGGCGUAAAGAGCGCGCAGGCGGUUGAAUCAGUCGAAUGUGAAAGCCCCCGGCUCAACUGGGGAGGGUCAUUCGAUACUGUUCGACUCGAAGGCAGGAGAGGGAAGCGGAAUUCCCGGUGUAGUGGUGAAAUGCGUAGAUAUCGGGAGGAACACCAGUGGCGAAGGCGGCUUUCUGGCCUGU